rnacentral:rRNA from 1 species
GGGUUGUGAGGUUAAGCGACUAAGCGUACACGGUGGAUGCCCUGGCAGUCAGAGGCGAUGAAGGACGUGCUAAUCUGCGAUAAGCGCCGGUAAGGUGAUAUGAACCGUUAUAACCGGCGAUUUCCGAAUGGGGAAACCCAGUGUGAUUCGUCACACUAUCAUUAACUGAAUCCAUAGGUUAAUGAGGCGAACCGGGGGAACUGAAACAUCUAAGUACCCCGAGGAAAAGAAAUCAACCGAGAUUCCCCCAGUAGCGGCGAGCGAACGGGGAGGAGCCCAGAGCCUGAAUCAGCAUGUGUGUUAGUGGAAGCGUCUGGAAAGGCGCGCGAUACAGGGUGACAGCCCCGUACACAAAAGCGCAUGUGCUGUGAGCUCGAUGAGUAGGGCGGGACACGUGGUAUCCUGUCUGAAUAUGGGGGGACCAUCCUCCAAGGCUAAAUACUCCUGACUGACCGAUAGUGAACCAGUACCGUGAGGGAAAGGCGAAAAGAACCCCGGCGAGGGGAGUGAAAAAGAACCUGAAACCGUGUACGUACAAGCAGUGGGAGCACCCUUUGGGGUGUGACUGCGUACCUUUUGUAUAAUGGGUCAGCGACUUAUAUUCUGUAGCAAGGUUAACCGAAUAGGGGAGCCGUAGGGAAACCGAGUCUUAACCGGGCGUUAAGUUGCAGGGUAUAGACCCGAAACCCGGUGAUCUAGCCAUGGGCAGGUUGAAGGUUGGGUAACACUAACUGGAGGACCGAACCGACUAAUGUUGAAAAAUUAGCGGAUGACCUGUGGCUGGGGGUGAAAGGCCAAUCAAACCGGGAGAUAGCUGGUUCUCCCCGAAAGCUAUUUAGGUAGCGCCUCGUGAAUUCAUCUCCGGGGGUAGAGCACUGUUUCGGCUAGGGGGCCAUCCCGGCUUACCAACCCGAUGCAAACUGCGAAUACCGGAGAAUGUUAUCACGGGAGACACACGGCGGGUGCUAACGUCCGUCGUGAAGAGGGAAACAACCCAGACCGCCAGCUAAGGUCCCAAAGUCAUGGUUAAGUGGGAAACGAUGUGGGAAGGCCCAGACAGCCAGGAUGUUGGCUUAGAAGCAGCCAUCAUUUAAAGAAAGCGUAAUAGCUCACUGGUCGAGUCGGCCUGCGCGGAAGAUGUAACGGGGCUAAACCAUGCACCGAAGCUGCGGCAGCGAACGUAUCACCCAAGACAACUUUGCGGAGUUGACGAUUGACGGAGCGAAGCGACGUCAAAGCGUUCAUUAAAGUCGAGUUGGCUUAGGGAUACGUUCGUUGGGUAGGGGAGCGUUCUGUAAGCCAGUGAAGGUGUGUCGUGAGGCAUGCUGGAGGUAUCAGAAGUGCGAAUGCUGACAUAAGUAACGAUAAAGCGGGUGAAAAGCCCGCUCGCCGGAAGACCAAGGGUUCCUGUCCAACGUUAAUCGGGGCAGGGUGAGUCGACCCCUAAGGCGAGGCCGAAAGGCGUAGUCGAUGGGAAACGGGUUAAUAUUCCCGUACUUGGUGUUACUGCGAAGGGGGGACGGAGAAGGCUAUGUUGGCCGGGCGACGGUUGUCCCGGUUUAAGCGUGUAGGUGUGUGUUCCAGGUAAAUCCGGUUCACUUUAACACUGAGGCGUGACGACGAGGCACUACGGUGCUGAAGCAACAAAUGCCCUGCUUCCAGGAAAAGCCUCUAAGCAUCAGGUAACAUCAAAUCGUACCCCAAACCGACACAGGUGGUCAGGUAGAGAAUACCAAGGCGCUUGAGAGAACUCGGGUGAAGGAACUAGGCAAAAUGGUGCCGUAACUUCGGGAGAAGGCACGCUGACACGUAGGUGAAGUGAUUUACUCAUGGAGCUGAAGUCAGUCGAAGAUACCAGCUGGCUGCAACUGUUUAUUAAAAACACAGCACUGUGCAAACACGAAAGUGGACGUAUACGGUGUGACGCCUGCCCGGUGCCGGAAGGUUAAUUGAUGGGGUCAGCGCAAGCGAAGCUCCUGAUCGAAGCCCCGGUAAACGGCGGCCGUAACUAUAACGGUCCUAAGGUAGCGAAAUUCCUUGUCGGGUAAGUUCCGACCUGCACGAAUGGCGUAAUGAUGGCCAGGCUGUCUCCACCCGAGACUCAGUGAAAUUGAACUCGCUGUGAAGAUGCAGUGUACCCGCGGCAAGACGGAAAGACCCCGUGAACCUUUACUAUAGCUUGACACUGAACAUUGAGCCUUGAUGUGUAGGAUAGGUGGGAGGCUUUGAAGUGUGGACGCCAGUCUGCAUGGAGCCGACCUUGAAAUACCACCCUUUAAUGUUUGAUGUUCUAACGUGGACCCGUGAUCCGGGUUGCGGACAGUGUCUGGUGGGUAGUUUGACUGGGGCGGUCUCCUCCUAAAGAGUAACGGAGGAGCACGAAGGUUGGCUAAUCCUGGUCGGACAUCAGGAGGUUAGUGCAAUGGCAUAAGCCAGCUUGACUGCGAGCGUGACGGCGCGAGCAGGUGCGAAAGCAGGUCAUAGUGAUCCGGUGGUUCUGAAUGGAAGGGCCAUCGCUCAACGGAUAAAAGGUACUCCGGGGAUAACAGGCUGAUACCGCCCAAGAGUUCAUAUCGACGGCGGUGUUUGGCACCUCGAUGUCGGCUCAUCACAUCCUGGGGCUGAAGUAGGUCCCAAGGGUAUGGCUGUUCGCCAUUUAAAGUGGUACGCGAGCUGGGUUUAGAACGUCGUGAGACAGUUCGGUCCCUAUCUGCCGUGGGCGCUGGAGAACUGAGGGGGGCUGCUCCUAGUACGAGAGGACCGGAGUGGACGCAUCACUGGUGUUCGGGUUGUCAUGCCAAUGGCACUGCCCGGUAGCUAAAUGCGGAAGAGAUAAGUGCUGAAAGCAUCUAAGCACGAAACUUGCCCCGA